rnacentral:rRNA from 1 species
UUCUAGAGAUAGAAAGUACUUCGGUACAUCGGUGACAGGUGGUGCAUGGUUGUCGUCAGCUCGUGUCGUGAGAUGUUGGGUUAAGUCCCGCAACGAGCGCAACCCCUAUUGUUAGUUGCCAUCAUUCAGUUGGGCACUCUAGCGAGACUGCCGGUAAUAAACCGGAGGAAGGUGGGGAUGACGUCAAAUCAUCAUGCCCCUUAUGACCUGGGCUACACACGUACUACAAUGGCCGUUACAACGGGAAGCGAAGGAGCAAUCCGGAGCAAAUCCCUUAAAGGCGGUCCCAGUUCAGAUUGUGGGCUGAAACUCGCCCACAUGAAGGCGGAAUUGCUAGUAAUUGCAGAUCAGCAUGCUGCAGUGAAUACGUUCCCGGGCCUU